CCCUCCUUCGGACAAGACACCACCUCACAUAUCCUAUAAGUAGGGAUUAUACCACUGUACGCACUUCAUACCAGAGCUAGUUCCUUAGCUCUUUAAAACGUGAGUAGGAUUAUAUCAGACUUUUUACCAGCUGCUACCUUGUUGAAUGUAUUGCACCAUUAGUUGUUUCUUUUAUCUCCACAUACGGACUUUAAGAACACC